GAGGGGGUGUACCGAAUGGUAAGGUGACCUGAUUCGCAAACAGGUCGCAGAUGCUAGCACAUCUGCUUGCGGGUUCGAGCCCCGCCCCCCUCU
rnacentral:tRNA from 1 species